GGAGAGAUGGCCGAGUGGUUCAAGGCUUACCGAGGGUUCGAAUCCCUCUCUUUCC
rnacentral:tRNA from 27 species